rnacentral:rRNA from 1 species
AUCGAACGCUGGCGGCAGGCUUAACACAUGCAAGUCGAACGAUGAAACUCUAGCUUGCUAGAGAUGAUUAGUGGCGGACGGGUGAGUAACAUUUAGGAAUCUGCCUAGUAGUGGGGGAUAGCUCGGGGAAACUCGAAUUAAUACCGCAUACGACCUACGGGUGAAAGGGGGCGCAAGCUCUUGCUAUUAGAUGAGCCUAAAUCAGAUUAGCUAGUUGGUGGGGUAAAGGCCCACCAAGGCGACGAUCUGUAACUGGUCUGAGAGGAUGAUCAGUCACACCGGAACUGAGACACGGUCCGGACUCCUACGGGAGGCAGCAGUGGGGAAUAUUGGACAAUGGGGGCAACCCUGAUCCAGCCAUGCCGCGUGUGUGAAGAAGGCCUUUUGGUUGUAAAGCACUUUAAGCAGGGAGGAGAGGCUAAUGGUUAAUACCCAUUAGAUUAGACGUUACCUGCAGAAUAAGCACCGGCUAACUCUGUGCCAGCAGCCGCGGUAAUACAGAGGGUGCGAGCGUUAAUCGGAAUUACUGGGCGUAAAGCGAGUGUAGGUGGCUCAUUAAGUCACAUGUGAAAUCCCCGGGCUUAACCUGGGAACUGCAUGUGAUACUGGUGGUGCUAGAAUAUGUGAGAGGGAAGUAGAAUUCCAGGUGUAGCGGUGAAAUGCGUAGAGAUCUGGAGGAAUACCGAUGGCGAAGGCAGCUUCCUGGCAUAAUAUUGACACUGAGAUUCGAAAGCGUGGGUAGCAAACAGG